UACGAAGGGGGCUAGCGUUGCUCGGAAUCACUGGGCUUAAAGCGUGCGUAGGCGGCUCAGAAAGUUGGGUGUGAAAUCCCUCGGCUCAACCGAGGAAUUGCGCCCAAAACUACUGGGCUUGAGGGAGUUAGAGGUGAGCGGAACUCACGGUGGAGCGGUGAAAUGCGUUGAUAUCGUGAGGAACACCGGAGGCGAAGGCGGCUCUCUGGGACGGUACUGGACGGCUGAGACGCGAAAAGCGUGGGGAGCGAACAGG
rnacentral:rRNA from 1 species